AAUAUGGUAAUAAAUGCCUAACAUCAUGGAAUAAAAUAUGAAGUUUGCAAGCAGGCACAGUAUACUUGGGCUUUUCUGUUCACACCAGUUAUGAACCUGCAUGCAAAAGUGUCAAAAUCUGUCUGUCACCCUGACACACAUUGUGUUGUCUACAAGCCUGUCUUUCAUUUGUAGAGUUUCACCACAUUAUGAUCAGUUCACGUGAUUUCACUUAUGGUAGUGCUCCUGUGAGACUUCUGCUAAAUGUCACUCGUCUUGUGCAGCCAGAAGAGAAAUGGAUCCUGUGAUUACUAUAGUUCUGGUGGUGGCAGCAGCAGCAGCAGCACAAGUUAAUGCCAUGGCCUGUAAUCUCUCGCACAAGAAUGGAACUCAUCAAUGCUAUGGGGCUUUGGGAGAAUCUUUGUCCAUACAGCUGGCUGCAGACAGUAAUGAAGAAAUAACAUUUAAAAAAGAUCUUACUCGUAUUCUGCACUUCAAAACUGGAGAAGACUGGAGACCUAAAUUGCAUCAGGAUUAUGUGCAUCGCUCGGAGAUCUUUAACAAUGGAACAUUCAGACUGGACAGAGUUAUAGAAGAAGACAGUGGAGAUUACCAAUUGGAAAUACAUAAUUCGGAGGGAAUACUGUUGCGCAAAGUCAACAUGCUACUUGAGAUACAAGGUACUGUUUAAUUAUUUUGUUUGGCUAAAAUACUUCAUGAAUCCUUUUCUUGGUGAGGGGUAUUUCAGAAAGGUCACCAGAAUGUCACUACUUCAAUAUGUUUGUACUGAAGGACUUGGCAGCAGAGAGUUUUUUGUUAACCUCUCUGGGAUAUGUGAGAUGCUAGCGUCCCACCUGGCCAAGAGAGCGCCAAAUUCAAAUAAAUUACUAUAAAAAUCUAACUUUCAUUAAAUCACACAUGCAAGAUAGCAAAUUAAAGCUACACUUGUUGUGAAUCCAGCCAACAUGUCAGAUUUCAAAAGGCUUUUCGGCGAAAGCAAAGGAUGCUAUUAUCUGAGGAUAGCACCUCUGUAAACAAAGAGAAAAAAAAUCAUAUUUCAAUGCUGCAGGCGCGACACAAAACGCUGAAAUAAAAAUAUAAUUCAUGCCUUACCUUUGACAAACUUCUUUUGUUGGCACUCCAAUAUGUCCCAUAAACAUCACAAAUGGUCCUUUUGUUCUAUUACUUCCAUCCAUAUAUAUCCAAAAUAUCAAUUUAUUUGGCGCAUUUGAUCCAGAAAAACACCGGUUCCAACUUGCGCAACGUGACUACAAAAUAUCUCAAAAGUUACCUGUAAACUUUGCCAAAACAUUUCAAACUACUUUUGUAAUACAACUUUAGAUAUCUAUUUUCCGUAAAUAAUCGAUCAAAUUGAAGACGGGAUGAUCUGUGUUCAAUACAGGAGGAAAACAAACUGUAGCUAGCUUUCUGGUCAUGUGCCUCUAUCUAACAGUACACUUCAAGUGACCCUCGUUCAAGAUGGCCGUACUUCAUUACACAAAGGAAAAACCUCAAUCAAUUUCUAAAGACUGUUGACAUCCAGUGGAAGCGAUAGGAACUGCAAGAAGGUCCCUUAGAAAUCUGGAUUCCCAAUGAAAAUUGAAAAGAGAGUGACCUCAAAAGAAAAAUCUGAAUGGUUUGUCCACGGGGUUUCGCCUGCUAAAUAAGUUCUGUUAUACUCACAUAUUCAAACAGUUUUAGAAACUUCAGAGUUUUCUAUCCAAAUCUACUAAUAAUAUGCAUAUCUUAUCUUCUGUGGAUGAGUAGCAGGCAGGUGAAUUUGGGCAUGCAUUUCAUCCGGAUGUGAAAAUACUGGCCCCUGUCACCAAGAAGUUAAAUCAAUAGUUUAGAUAUAAUGUUUGCAUGAAUGGCCAGAAUCUGACCAGGAGUGUAGCCUAUGACCACUACCAGAACAGUGUCAUCAUACUGAAGAGUGAUGUGACAGGAACUCUGACCUGUAUGGUUCAGAAUAAAGUUAGCAACAGCAACUAUACUAUUCAUCUACUGGCCUGCCAAGGUAAUGUCAGGACAGUUUCCUUCCCACAAUGUAAGAUUUCAAAUGAACUUGACUUGCCCGAUAAGAUCAUUUUCUUGAUUGGUUACUGUUGACACUGUUGAUUAAUCAUACUCUCAGAAUUCUGUUUGUCUCUUCCCAGUUUUCUCCUCCCAGAUUCGUUUUGUAAUUGUGACAGUAGGUAUAGCUCUAGCUGUUGGAACUCUUGCCUUACUUCUUGCGGUGUUUGUUGGCGUAAACCGUCUCUGUGGGAAACUGAGAUUUGGACAUACUACUUCAGGUUGCUCUAAUGAUGAGGGUGAUGCUGUUGUAUACACUGAAGUAUUCAAUACAAGAACAAGAGAAGUCAACCAGAAUGCUACAGAGAUGGUGGAGUAUGGAGAGAUCAAAAUGGCUGCCAGUCUUAAUGAGGAAGAAAGCCCCAAGAAUCAAGGGGACAUGGAAAUGACAAACACCCAGACAUAUGACACAUCUUUUCUGACAACUUUCGGCAGGACUUAGUAGAAACCAAAAAUGUAAGAGUGUAUUACUUCCUUGUAUAUGUUUAUGUUGUCACCUGAAUCUUGAACUUUUAACCCUUUCAACCAUACCUCUUAACCAAAUGGAGGGACGUUGGUCCGAAACAAAAGAUGACUGUUAAAUAUCUUAAUUUUAUGAUUGUGUGAUGUUUACAGUGUUUGGGAUCUUUUGCAAUAUUGUGUGUUUGCCAUCUAUUCUCCUUCAUUUGCUGCUGACUUGGGAUUGUACUUUACCUGGCAAUGUCAGAGUGUUAAAUGCUGAACGUAGGAGAGAAACAUUGAUGAACAUGAUAGCUUAACUUCCUUGCAAUAUCAUACUUUUUAAACUUGAAAAGCUAUUUUACAAGGAUGUCAUAUCAGAUGUAAAUAUAAUUGAUUAAAUAUAUUUGUUUGA